CGGGGUGCAGCAGGCGCGAAACCUCUGCAAUGCGCGAAAGCGUGACAGGGGAAGUCUGAGUGGCGGAAACUUAGUUCCGUCUUUUGCCAAGUGUAAACAGCUUGGAGAAUAAGGGUGUGGGCAAGACUGGUGGCAGCCGCCGCGGUGACACCAGCGCCUCGAGUGGUACCCACGAAUAUUGGGCCUAAAGCGUCCGUAGCUGGACCUCUAAGUCCGCUGUGAAAUGUUGGGGCUCAACCCUAACGCGUGCAGUGGAUACUGUUGGUCUUGGGAACGGGGGAGGGUCGGGGUACUUCCAGGGUAGGGGUAAAAUCCGUUGAGCCUGGAAGGACCACCAGUGGCGAAGGCGCCGAUCCAAAACGUGUCCGACGGUGAGGGACGAAAGCUGGGGGAGCGAACGGGAUUAGAUACCCCGGUAGUCCCAGCUGUAAAUGAUGCAGACUGUGGUGUUACACAUGAGUAAUCAUGUGUAGUGCUGUAGCGUAGGUGUUAAGUCUGCCGCCUGGGGAGUACGAUCGCAAGAUUUAAACUUAAAGGAAUUGGCGGGGGAGCAC
rnacentral:rRNA from 1 species